rnacentral:rRNA from 1 species
CCUACGGGCGGCAGCAGUGAGGAAUCUUGGUCAAUGGACGAAAGUCUGAACCAGCCAAGUCGCGUGAGGGAUGACGGCCCUAUGGGUUGUAAACUUCUUUUAUAUGGGAAUAAAAUGUUCCACGUGUGGGAUUUUGUAUGUACCAUAUGAAUAAGGAUCGGCUAACUCCGUGCCAGCAGCCGCGGUAAUACGGAGGAUCCGAGCGUUAUCCGGAUUUAUUGGGUUUAAAGGGAGCGUAGGUGGGUUGUUAAGUCAGUUGUGAAAGUUUGCGGCUCAACCGUAAAAUUGCAGUUGAAACUGGUAGUCUUGAGUACAGUAGAGGUGGGCGGAAUUCGUGGUGUAGCGGUGAAAUGCUUAGAUAUCACGAAGAACCCCGAUUGCGAAGGCAGUUCACUGGACUGUAACUGACACUGAGGCUCGAAAGCGUGGGGAUCAAACAGGAUUAGAUACCCUUGUAGUC